GACGAACGCUGGCGGCGUGCUUAACACAUGCAAGUCGAACGGAAAGGCCCUGCUUUUGUGGGGUGCUCGGGUGGCGAACGGGUGAGUAACACGUGAGUAACCUGCCCUUGACUUUGGGAUAACUUCAGGAAACUGGGGCUAAUACCGGAUAGGAGCUCCUGCUGCAUGGUGGGGGUUGGAAAGUUUCGGCGGUUGGGGAUGGACUCGCGGCUUAUCAGCUUGUUGGUGGGGUAGUGGCUUACCAAGGCUUUGACGGGUAGCCGGCCUGAGAGGGUGACCGGCCACAUUGGGACUGAGAUACGGCCCAGACUCCUACGGGAGGCAGCAGUGGGGAAUAUUGCACAAUGGGCGGAAGCCUGAUGCAGCAACGCCGCGUGCGGGAUGACGGCCUUCGGGUUGUAAACCGCUUUCGCCUGUGAGGAAGCGUGAGUGACGGUAAUGGGUAAAGAAGCACCGGCUAACUACGUG
rnacentral:rRNA from 1 species